rnacentral:rRNA from 1 species
GGCUCAGAUUGAACGCUGGCGGCAUGCCUUACACAUGCAAGUCGAACGGCAGCACGGGAGCAAUCCUGGUGGCGAGCGGCGAACGGGUGAGUAAUAUAUCGGAACGUGCCCAGUCGUGGGGGAUAACGUAGCGAAAGCUACGCUAAUACCGCAUACGAUCUAUGGAUGAAAGCGGGGGAUCGCAAGACCUCGCGCGAUUGGAGCGGCCGAUAUCAGAUUAGGUAGUUGGUGGGGUAAAAGCCUACCAAGCCUUCGAUCUGUAGCUGGUCUGAGAGGACGACCAGCCACACUGGAACUGAGACACGGUCCAGACUCCUACGGGAGGCAGCAGUGGGGAAUUUUGGACAAUGGGCGCAAGCCUGAUCCAGCAAUGCCGCGUGCAGGAUGAAGGCCUUCGGGUUGUAAACUGCUUUUGUACGGAACGAAACGGCUCUUUCUAAUAAAGAGAGCUAAAUGACGGUACCGUAAGAAUAAGCACCGGCUAACUACGUG